GGUCCGUUGGCCCAAUGGUAAGGCGUCUGACUACGACUGCAAAUAGUUAAUCAGGAGAUUCUGGGUUCGACCCCCAGGCGGACCU
rnacentral:tRNA from 2 species